GAUGAACGCUAGCUACAGGCUUAACACAUGCAAGUCGAGGGGCAGCAUGGUCUUAGCUUGCUAAGGCCGAUGGCGACCGGCGCACGGGUGAGUAACGCGUAUCCAACCUGCCUUACACUCUUGGACAGCCUUCUGAAAGGGAGAUUAAUACAAGAUGUUAUCAUGAGUAAGCAUUUUCGCAUGAUUAAAGGUUUACCGGUGUAAGAUGGGGAUGCGUUCCAUUAGAUAGUAGGCGGGGUAACGGCCCACCUAGUCUUCGAUGGAUAGGGGUUCUGAGAGGAAGGUCCCCCACAUUGGAACUGAGACACGGUCCAAACUCCUACGGGAGGCAGCAGUGAGGAAUAUUGGUCAAUGGACGAGAGUCUGAACCAGCCAAGUAGCGUGAAGGAUGAAGGUUCUAUGGAUUGUAAACUUCUUUUAUACGGGAAUAAACGAAUCCACGCGUGGAUUUUUGCAUGUACCGUAUGAAUAAGGAUCGGCUAACUCCGUGCCAGCAGCCGCGGUAAUACGGAGGAUCCGAGCGUUAUCCGGAUUUAUUGGGUUUAAAGGGAGCGUAGAUGGGUUGUUAAGUCAGUUGUGAAAGUUGCGGCUCAACCGUAAAAUGCAAUUGAUACUGGCAGUCUUGGAGUACAGUUGAGGUAGGCGGAAUUCGUGGUGUAGCGGUGAAAUGCUUAGAUAUCACGAAGAACUCCGAUUGCGAAGGCAGCUUACUAACCUGUAACUGACAUUGAUGCUCGAAAGCGUGGGUAUCAAACAGGAUUAGAUACCCUGGUAGUCCACACGGUAAACGAUGAAUACUCGCUGUAGGCGAUAUACAGUCUGCGGCCAAGCGAAAGCAUUAAGUAUUCCACCUGGGGAGUACGCCGGCAACGGUGAAACUCAAAGGAAUUGACGGGGGCCCGCACAAGCGGAGGAACAUGUGGUUUAAUUCGAUGAUACGCGAGGAACCUUACCCGGGCUUAAAUUGCAACCGAAUAUGGCGGAAACGCUAUAGCUAGCAAUAGCGGUUGUGAAGGUGCUGCAUGGUUGUCGUCAGCUCGUGCCGUGAGGUGUCGGCUUAAGUGCCAUAACGAGCGCAACCCUUGCCGAUAGUUACUAACAGGUUAUGCUGAGGACUCUGUCGGGACUGCCAUCGUAAGAUGUGAGGAAGGUGGGGAUGACUGUCAAAUCAGCACGGCCUUACGUCCGGGGCUACACACGUGUUACAAUGGGGGGUACAGAGGGCUGCUACCACGCAAGUGGAUGCCAAUCCCAAAAACCUCUCUCAGUUCGGAUUGAAGUCUGCAACCCGACUUCAUGAAGCUGGAUUCGCUAGUAAUCGCGCAUCAGCCACGGCGCGGUGAAUACGUUCCCGGGCCUUGUACACACCGCCCGUCAAGCCAUGGGAGCCGGGGGUACCUGAAGUGCGUAACCGCAAGGAGCGCCCUAGGGUAAAACUGGUGACUGG
rnacentral:rRNA from 1 species